GUCAAGGAAAAAUGACCAAAAAUUUCAUUUUGAUGCACUUUUUUCCUUUGCUUAUAGGAAAGACUAGUUCUUCUAUGCAUCCUUAUUGGAAUUCGAAAUUUCUUAGGAGUAUGGUUUUUCCAUUUCCCAUGGAAAAAAAAAAAAAAGGAAUUUUGCAUACAUGCCACAGCUGUUUGUUAGAGUCUGGCAACAGCAUUUUCUAAGAAUUCUGAUCAUACGUGGCCUCAUUUACCCUUUCAUAACUCCUCCUGUGAUCAGACUCAGUUAAAGUUAUCAUACAUCUGGGUUUUCCUGAACAUGUCCUCUUUUUUAUUCUUUUUUUUUUUUUUUUUUUUUUUUUUUUCAAAUUUUUUUUUUUUUUUUUUUUUUUUUUUUUUUUUUUUUUUUUUUUUUUUUUUUUUUUUUUUUUUGCUGAUGCAGUCAUAUAUAGUCAACACUGUUGGCCACCCAAGAGUCUGUGCUUCCACAGGGAGAUUUGGGGGUCACCACAUGAAGUUUGAAAACUCACUUAGUGUAUAGCCCAGGGUAGAGGUAAUGGGUAGCUGCCCAUCCGGAUAAGGGUAGAAGGGUCAACACCACUCUCAGAUGGGCAAGCAGGAAACUGCUCAUGUUCUACCCUUCUUCAUCUUGUUUUGAAAGUUAAGCAUGGAGAAGAGCCUGUCAGAGGCUGCUGGAAAGAAAUUUUACCAGGUCUGAAGGAUCUCAUGAGUGCCAGGGAAAGUUGUUCCCAUUGGUUCCCCUGCUCCUCACUGGGACAGCAACAAGAAGCCGCCUGUGUGAAGCCCAAGAAUGGAGGUGGAGCCUCCAGCCUCAGACCAUUCUGCGACUUGUCUGGAAGCCAGGUGAUGCAUGCCUGGCAACCCUACAGGAGCAGCUGGCACAGAGCUCCUGCCAG
rnacentral:lncRNA from 1 species